GAUGAACGCUGGCGGCGUGCCUAACACAUGCAAGUCGAGCGAUCUUCUUCGGAAGAGAGCGGCGGACGGGUGAGUAACGCGUGGGUAACCUGCCCUGUACACACGGAUAACAUACCGAAAGGUAUGCUAAUACGGGAUAAUAUGCUUUUAUCGCAUGGUAGAAGUAUCAAAGCUCCGGCGGUACAGGAUGGACCCGCGUCUGAUUAGCUAGUUGGUAAGGUAACGGCUUACCAAGGCGACGAUCAGUAGCCGACCUGAGAGGAUGAUCGGCCACAUUUGAACUGAGACACGGUCCAAACUCCUACGGGAGGAAGCAGUGGGGAAUAAUGCACAAUGGGCGGAAGCCUGAUGCAGCGACGCCGCGUGAGCGAUGAAGGCCUUCGGGUCGUAAAGCUCUAUCCUCAAGGAAGAUAAUGACGGUACUUGAGGAGGAAGCCCCGGCUAACUACGUGCCAGCCGCCGCUGUAA
rnacentral:rRNA from 1 species